UACAUACACACACAAGACUACCUCUGAACCAAGACAAGUAUUUCAAUGGUAACAAUCAGUGCCACCUGCUGACCAUUUGGCACCAAAUUGGGAGAUUUUAUGCUACUGGAAGCUUUUGCAUUGUUACACUCUUUACUGAGUUUUACCAGUAAAAUGUCCUUGUAACUGUUAUUUUAGAAUUUUUUGCUGGAGUGACUGGAGCUGAGCUGUUUGAUGUUGUUGUCAGCGAUGGUUAUUAGUUUGACGAAAGAUGCUUUUAAUUUUAAUUUAAUUUAAUUCACCCAAACGUCAUGUCAAAUUAGUCCUACUUAAGAAAGUCAAGAACUACACAGUUUUGUUCAACGGGUGGAUUUAAACAUCCAUCUGAAGCCUUACUAUUAGUUGGAUAUAAGUCAUAGUCAAAGUCUAUCUUUGUUAAAAACAGCCCCAGAUCAUAACUGCCGUAAUAGUGUGUACUAAUGUGCAAUUCUUUUCCUGUAUAAUUCCACAGAUGCCUUUUGUUUCAUCUCACAUGUAGUAGGGGAGUAAAAGCGAACGAUGAAAGGCUGCCUGGAGAAAACAUCAGUUUCAUUGGUCCCUUCUCCUUCUAGUUUACGGUACUGAUAAUGCUCCUUGACCUGCAGCACAUUGUUCCUGGAGAAGACAACAGAGGAAAAAGACGACGUUAAGGAUACCAUGUUUAGCUGACCAUUAACAGCAAUGUGUUCUGUGUGACAUGGGUUACCUGUAUAUGUAGACAUACUGCUCCUUGUAGGUCUUCCUCCCCAGCCUUUCACUUUCCACAUAGGAGUAUGAGUUGGAUUUGUCAAAUCUGGUGACAUCAGCAUAAAUGAGAUAAAUUGAAGGUGAUGAUUGGAUGCCGUUUAACGUCACAAAGGAUUCACCAGAUGCUUCAAUCUGCGUUUUUUAAACCCAUGAAAGCUUGUACCUGUUAAGCUCCUUAACCAAAGCUUGAAUUGCUUUUCCUUUAGAGUCCCGGACUUCCUGAAUAAGACACAAGUCACACCGAGAAAGAAUCUUGGGAGCAAAAGGAAAAAAGUUGUCAGCUCUGAACAUUGAAAGCGCAGAUUUUCAGGGAGGAUGUGACAUUCCACACACACAACCCCACAACAACCAGCAGAACUACAGUCCUCAUCUCGCAGAGGGUUAUCGCUCUCCUCUUACCUUCGGUGCCAGUUUCACCAGGAGACUGACCCCAGUCCAGCAAAGAUCCAUCUCUUCAAUGGCCUGUGGUGUGUUUUGGGGAACAUGCAGGUAAACGUGGGUGAAAGACAGGGGCUGUGGAUCUGUGUGGUGGAUGUGCUGUGUCAGUGCCUGUUGAGAAUGGAGCUUUAUCUGGAACAGUUAAAACCACUGAAUACAAUGAACAAUUGUGUUUUGUCUGUAAGUUUGAGUGUAAUCGGACAAUAGAAGGUUGCCAUGUGUCAUGUCUGUUUGUUUCAUGAACAUUUGUGUAGAAUUUACGACAUUUCGUUCUGUCAUUUGAGCACAGACACGAGCAGCUGGUAGUUACCAUAGUGCUGCGCAUUGCAUUACUGAGACAACUGAUGCUGAUAUAAGCCAGAGAAACCAAAAUAAAAGAUAUAAUUUCAAAUCUAUAUUUAAAACUGCACACUUCUCAUGCUAUAGUAGCUCUUCUCAUGAAACGUGUUGCCAAUGUACUAAUGAUGAAAGUAUAAAUCAGUAUGGAUACACUUGACAAAAGCAAAUAUUGUACUUUUUACUUCACUACAUUGAUUUGACAGCUGUAAUUACUUUGCAAGUUAAGAGUUUACAUGUAAAACAUGAGGAAUUCUUCAAAUACAUUGCAUUUUUAUAGAUUAAACUGUCCAGCAGUAUAGUAUAUAGUAGUUAAAAUUUGUUCCAGUUCAACUGGCUACAAUAUUAAUCUGCUGCUUAUAUGCACAUGUAUCCAUCAGUAAUGAUAAUGAUGUAAUACUUAAGAUUCUAAAUUCAGAACUUUUAAUUGUAAUUGAGUAUUUUCACAGUGUAGAUUUGCUACUUUUACCUAAGUAAAGGAUCUCAAAAUGUCUUCCAACAA